GACGAACGCUGGCGGCGUGCCUAAUACAUGCAAGUCGAGCGGACUUUCCGGAGUGCUUGCACUCCGGAAGGUUAGCGGCGGACGGGUGAGUAACACGUAGGCAACCUGCACAUAAGACCGGGAUAACAUUCGGAAACGAAUGCUAAUACCGGAUAGACGGACCUCUCGCAUGAGGGGAUCGGGAAAGGCGGAGCAAUCUGUCGCUUAUGGAUGGGCCUGCGGCGCAUUAGCUGGUUGGUGGGGUAACGGCCUACCAAGGCGCCACUGCUUAGCCGACCUGAGAGGGUGAUCGCCCACACUGGUGCUGAGACAGCGCCCAGACUCCUACGGGAUGCACCAGUGUCGCAUCUUCCUCAAUGGACACAAGUCUUACGCACCAACGCCACGUGAGUGAGGAAGGCCUUCUGGUCGUAAAGCUCUGUUGCCAGGGAAAAACCGGUCUGGGAGUAACUGCCCUUGCCAUAACGGUACCUGAGAAGAAAGCCCCGGCUAACUACGUG
rnacentral:rRNA from 1 species